rnacentral:rRNA from 1 species
AUUGAACGCUGGCGGCAUGCUUUACACAUGCAAGUCGAGCGGUAACAGGCCUUCGGGUGCUGACGAGUGGCGAACGGGUGAGUAAUGCAUCGGAACGUACCCAGAGGUGGGGGAUAACGCAGCGAAAGCUGUGCUAAUACCGCAUGUGAUCUGAGGAUGAAAGCGGGGGACCGAGCAGCAAUGUUUGGCCUCGCGCCUUUGGAGCGGCCGAUGUCGGAUUAGCUAGUUGGUGGGGUAAAGGCCUACCAAGGCGACGAUCCGUAGCUGGUCUGAGAGGACGACCAGCCACACUGGGACUGAGACACGGCCCAGACUCCUACGGGAGGCAGCAGUGGGGAAUUUUGGACAAUGGGCGCAAGCCUGAUCCAGCAAUGCCGCGUGCGGGAAGAAGGCCUUCGGGUUGUAAACCGCUUUUGGCAGGAACGAAACGGUGACCGCUAAUACCGGGCGCUAAUGACGGUACCUGCAGAAUAAGCACCGGCUAACUACGUG